GUCCAGGGAUGGGAUUCGAACCCACAGUGUUCUGCUUACCGGACAGCUGCCAUGUCCACUAGGCUACCCUGGA
rnacentral:tRNA from 1 species